AUUUGGGUUGCUUGUGAUCCCAGGCUCACUGUUAGUGUGGCCCUUUCCCUCCACAUGUGGACGGGCGGCUGCUUGCCAGUGUAGGCUUCCUGCAGGGUUGGACUGUCCUUUCGGAGCAUCGGGGGUGUCCAUUCGUUGUUAAUCAUGGGCAUGGAGCCAUCCUGAAGUGUGCAGUCAGUCUCUUGCCUGCACAAUGGAGGAAAAGCUGCCUUGCUGCUUUCUAUACAUGCUAUAUAACCUCCUUUUUAUGUACAUGAUAAAAGUUCUGUUGGGCUCUUUUAAUGUAAGCUUGAAUGUGAAAGUGUGAUUGGGAAUGAGCUAACUGUCUCUGUUAGCUCAGUUUUUAGCAGUCUGUUGUAAAUAUUAUUAAUAUAUUUUGUUUGUUUUCUUUCUACUUGAAGGAAACUUUAUUUCUGUUGUAAGUUUGCUUUAGAUUUAAAUUGACAGUUUGGUUUUUGUUGAACUAAUUGAUUUCGCUUUUGUCUGACUUAAAAGUAGUUUUCGUCUAUUAACUUGUUUCGUGUCGCAGUUCUGUCCGUAUGUCUUAAACGGUAUGCAUGUUGUGAAAAGCCUUUUAAAAAGGAAACAUAAAAAUAAAAGGAACUGUGGUGUGAAUGGAACAACGCCUCUGACCUUCCCCCCUCCAAGUAA